UCUCCGUUGGUGAACCAGCGGAGGGAUCAUUACCGAGUUUACAACUCCCAAACCCCUGUGAACAUACCAUUUGUUGCCUCGGCGGUGCCUGCUUCGGCAGCCCGCCAGAGGACCCAAACCCUUGAUUUUAUACAGUAUCUUCUGAGUAAAUGAUUAAGUAAAUCAAAACUUUCAACAACGGAUCUCUUGGUUCUG
rnacentral:misc_RNA from 1 species